GGUCUCUUUCUUUCCCCUCUUUCUCUUAUUCGUCCGUGCCUCUCACUGCUCUCAGUCUCUCUCAGAGCACAAUGGUGGUGUCAAUCACAAAGCACGGCGGUACACAAAGGUGGCGGUGGGUGGCGAGGUGCGGAAGGGGGGUGGCCCCUAGGCCAGCAACCCUCGCUAUUACAUCUAGGUCUACAACCAACCCAACCCGAAUAAACUCAGUUAAGGUGCCAAACCAACUCAGCCUAACCUGUAGAAAAUCAAAUCGGGUUGAACCCGUACGACCCGACCUUUAAAAACAAAAUCGUUUACUCUUCCUUUCCUUGCUUCUAGAAUCGACUUAUUCAUAGAAAUUACAUAAUCACAAACCAAGGGAGAGGAAGAGAGAGAACCUUCUCAUACAUGUAAAACUCUCAUCUGGGUAUUGCCAAGAUCCAAGUGGGUCAGGUCUCGUUUUGGCCAAAUGGGUAUCGAAUUUAGGUUUGUUUUGAUCAAUGGGCGAGUACAAAAGAGUAGUUUCGUGAACAACGUAGUGUUGGAUUUUGAACAACGAAGUUCCAUGUCCGUUGGAGUGAGCAAGGUAUACUGUUGAACUUCAAAUCUUGUGAAGUGGUUUACAAAGUGUCAGUACUACA